UCAACUUCAUUUCAUUUCAUAAUAUCAUUUUCAUAUAAACAAGUUACGUGUAUCAUUAAAAUAAGACUUGACCUAAAGGUCUUAGUUACCAGGUCAUCAAAUCCCUUAAAAAAAACUGACUGACUGACACUUCGCUUCGCUUGCUUGCUGCUUGUGUUGUGCUUGCGUUCAAAAUUGUUGUGUUUUGAUUUUUCUUCGAUUUAUUUUACUUUUAUCAAUAACGUUUCGUACUACGACUGAAAAACAUUGUGUGAAUUGUGAUUUAACUUGACCGAGAUUUAAAACCGUGUAUUCUUGUGCUAUUUUUAGAUGAUUUACUAAUUGUGUAUGAAGAUGAAAAAAAUAUAGAUAUUUAAAGAACGCGAUGGACGAGCUCACGACCUCUCUUGUUGUGAAGCGAUUAUAGGAGUCCAUAGACAACAACAUGACUACCGCAACUCAUCCUAAGAUUGUCGUCUAUGUCUAAUUGUGUUUGUAUAUUUUUACACGAUUUUUUUUUUGGUGUACCUGCUGACGGCCCAUCUGGUGCUAAGUGGUUAUGGGAACUCAUAGACAUCAAUAACAUAAAUGGGUACUUACGUAUUAACGAGACCGCGGCAAAAAUUCUAUUAAAAAGCCGAUAAAAAGCAAUAUUUAUGUUUUUAUGUAAUAGCCUAUCUUUUGGUUUUCUUAUUGUUUGCUGAUUUUUGAGCUUAAGUUUGAAUCCGCCUUAUCUCCGGCGCUGCGGCAAGAGCAGCCCUUCCGCACUCCCUCCGCGCCUCCGGUUUUUAUAUACACGCCAGGGGUAGGACAGACAAGACCAGGUGGAAAGUGGAGUGCUCUGAUUCGCUUUUCCAUAUUUUUCGAAUAUUUAUGCAAUUUUAUUACCAAAACACGAGCAAUUUUACUAUUGCUAACCAUGAAAUUUUUGGCGCGGUGGCAUUAAUACGUAAGUACCCGUAAAUGCCGCAACCCACCUUGUUACAUCGGUAUUAAGACUUAGUUUUGUAGUACAGCGGCUGCCGCACCCUUCAAGCCGAAACGCAUUACUGCUUCACGGCAGAAACAUUCAAGAUGGUGGUACCUACACGUGCGGGCCCACGAGACGCCCUACCACAAGUCAAAAUUGUCGAUUACAGAUGUUAUCAACAAUAAUAUUAUUCCAUGAUAAAGCAAUAAGAUCAGUUACUACUUCACCGUGGAAGUUUUUCGUGAACAUUAACUUUCGUUAAGUAAGUCAAGUAAUCAAACCAUUACAAAAAUUGUUACCUAUCUGCGGAAUUUGAAGACCGGCAUAGUCAUAUCCAUCGAUACGUGUACACCGGGAAUCUUACCUUUUAGGGCAACUCGACCUAAAUAUUUACAAUAUUUAAACAACUAAUUUAUUUUAGAAAAAAAAUUAAACUGUAAUUAAUCAGUUACUAAACUAACUACUAUAUUGAUUUUUUUAUUCAUUAUUAGUGUUUCCGAUAAAAAAAUAUGAUUAUUAACUAAACAAAUAAAUAAAAUGUCUUCAAACUGUUUGUUGUAA